GAUGAACGCUGGCGGCGUGCCUAAUACAUGCAAGUCGAGCGAACGGACGAGAAGCUUGCUUCUCUGAUGUUAGCGGCGGACGGGUGAGUAACACGUGGAUAACCUACCUAUAAGACUGGGAUAACUUCGGGAAACCGGAGCUAAUACCGGAUAAUAUUUUGAACCGCAUGGUUCAAAAAUGAAAGACGGUCUUGCUGUCACUUAUAGAUGGAUCCGCGCUGCCUUAGCUAGUUGGUAAGGUAACGGCUUACCAAGGCAACGAUGCAUAGCCGACCUGAGAGGGUGAUCGGCCACACUGGAACUGAGACACGGUCCAGACUCCUACGGGAGGCAGCAGUAGGGAAUCUUCCGCAAUGGGCGAAAGCCUGACCGAGCAACGCCGCGUGAGUGAUGAAGGUCUUCCGAUCGUAAAACUCUGUUAUUAGGGAAGAACAUAUGUGUAAGUAACUGUGACACAUCUUGACGGUACCUAAUCAGAAAGCCACGGCUAACUACGUGCCAGCAGCCGCGGUUAUACAUAGGUGGCAAGCGUUAUCCGGAAUUAUUGGGCGUUAAGCGCGCGUAUGCGGUUUUUUAAGUCUGAUGUGAAAGCCCACGGCUCAACCGUGGAGGGUCAUUGGAAACUGGAAAACUUGAGUGCAGAAGAGGAAAGUGGAAUUCCAUGUGUAGCGGUGAAAUGCGCAGAGAUAUGGAGGAACACCAGUGGCGAAGGCGACUUUCUGGUCUGUAACUGACGCUGAUGUGCGAAAGCGUGGGGAUCAAACAGGAUUAGAUACCCUGGUAGUCCACGCCGUAAACGAUGAGUGCUAAGUGUUAGGGGGUUUCCGCCCCUUAGUGCUGCAGCUAACGCAUUAAGCACUCCGCCUGGGGAGUACGACCGCAAGGUUGAAACUCAAAGGAAUUGACGGGGACCCGCACAAGCGGUGGAGCAUGUGGUUUAAUUCGAAGCAACGCGAAGAACCUUACCAAAUCUUGACAUCCUUUGACAACUCUAGAGAUAGAGCUUUCCCCUUCGGGGGACAAAGUGACAGGUGGUGCAUGGUUGUCGUCAGCUCGUGUCGUGAGAUGUUGGGUUAAGUCCCGCAACGAGCGCAACCCUUAAGCUUAGUUGCCAUCAUUAAGUUGGGCACUCUAAGUUGACUGCCGGUGACAAACCGGAGGAAGGUGGGGAUGACGUCAAAUCAUCAUGCCCCUUAUGAUUUGGGCUACACACGUGCUACAAUGGACAAUACAAAGGGCAGCGAAACCGCGAGGUCAAGCAAAUCCCAUAAAGUUGUUCUCAGUUCGGAUUGUAGUCUGCAACUCGACUACAUGAAGCUGGAAUCGCUAGUAAUCGUAGAUCAGCAUGCUACGGUGAAUACGUUCCCGGGUCU
rnacentral:rRNA from 1 species